rnacentral:rRNA from 1 species
CUAAGAAUAUUCCGCAAUGGACGGAAGUCUGACGGAGCGACACCGCGUGGAUGACGAAGGCCGAAAGGUUGUAAAGUUCUUUUGCUGGGGAAGAAUAACCGCAGGAGGGAAUGCCUGUGGGAUGACAAGAACCGGCGAAUAAGCCCCGGCCAACUACGUGCCAGCAGCCGCGGUAACACGUAGGGGGGCGAGCGUUGUUCGGAAUUACUGGGCGUAAAGGGCAUGUAGGCGGCUUGGAAAGCCUGGCGUGAAAGUCUGCAGCUUAACUGCAGGGGUGCGCUGGGAACUGCUGAGCUUGAGUGACGGAGAGGGAGCUGGAAUUCCUGGUGUAGGGGUGAAAUCUGUAGAUAUCAGGAAGAACACCGAUGGCGAAGGCAAGCUCCUGGCCGAUGACUGACGCUGAGGUGCGAAAGUGUGGGGAUCAAACAGGAUUAGAUACCCAGGUAGUCCACACAGUCAACGAUGUGCACUAGGUGCUGGGGCGGUAGCUUCGGUGCCGGAGCGAACGUGGUAAGUGCACCGCCUGGGGAGUAUGCUCGCAAGGGUGAAACUC